rnacentral:rRNA from 1 species
AUGAAGGGCAUGAGCACACCAGUUCAAGCCGCUGAUGAGGACAUCAAUACCAUUGUUACACCCACAGCCCCUACUGUUACAUAUACUGGACCAAUUACUAGAGCUUGCACACGCCAAUUAAAUUACCAGGUACUUUCGUUUCUUGGUAAUGAUUCUAAUGUUCAUGAGAUUAUGAUGCUGCCUAAAUUGGAUACAUUUGUUUUGCUUACAAAUGAAGGGCCUAGCUUGGAGAAGGAUGAACAUUGGAGCAAGAACACACAUGGAAUUGAUGGCAUGCACAAGGGGAUCAAGAACGGAGUUACAAGUGAUGAUUUCAGGACUUUAAAGCCGCCAUAA